ensembl:lncRNA
AAAAAUCACACAUUUAAGCGAAAAUCACUUGUUUUCUCUUCGAAAAUCCCCCAUUUAACCCGAAAAUCACCCAUUUUCCCUUCAAAAAUCACCAAUUAUUUGGAAAAUCACGCAUUUUCUCCUCAAAAACCCCCCAUUUAAGGGUAAAUCAUGCAUUUUCUCGACAAAAAUCCUCCAUUUAACUAAAUAACUAUGCACUUAAGCGAAAAUCAAACAUUUUCUCUUUGAAAAUCCCCCAUUUAAGGGUAUAUCAAGCAUUUUAUUUCUGAAAAUCUGCCAUUUAAGGGUAAAUCAUGCAUUUUCUCUUCGAAAAUCCAACAUUUAGCUAAAAAAUCACGCAUUUAAGCGAAAAUCACCAGUUUUCUCUACGAAAAACCCACAUUUAACCCGAAAAACAUGCAUUUUCUCUUCAAAAUUCCCCCAUUUAAACCGAAAAUCAACCAUUUUCCCUUCAAAAAUCCCCAAUUAUUUGGAAAAUCACACAUUUUCUCCUCAAAAACCCCCCAUUUAAGGGUAAAUCAUGCAUUUUCUCCUCAAAAAUCCUCCAUUGAACUAAAUAACUAUGCACUUAAGCGAAAAUCAAACAUUUUCUCUUUGAAAAUCCCCCAUUUAAGGGUAUAUCAUGCAUUUUAUUUCUGAAAAUCUGCCAUUUAAGGGUAAAUCAUGCAUUUUCUCUUCGAAAAUCCAACAUUUAGCUAAAAAAUAACGCGUUUAAGCAAAAAUCACCCGUUCUCUCUUCAAAAAUCCCCCAUUUAACCCCAAAAUCACCCAUUUUCUCUUCGAAAAUCCGACAUUUAAGUGAAAAUCACCCCUUUUCUUUUCAAAAAUCCCCCAUUUAACCCAAACAUCACCCCUUUUCUCCUCGAAAAUCCCCCUUUUUACCCCAAAAUCACGCAUUUUCUCCUCAAAAAUCCCCCAUUUAAGGGUAAAUCGUGCAUUUUCUCUUCAAAAAUCCCCCAAUUAUCCCAAAAAAUCACACAUUUAAGCGAAAAUCACCCGUUCUCUCUUCGAAAAUCCCCCAUUUAACAAAAAAACAUCAUGCAUUUAAGCGAAAAUCAAACAUUUUCUCUUCGAAAAUGCCCCAUUUCAGCAAAAAACACGCAUUUUCUCCUCGAAAAUCCCCCAUUUAUCUCAAAAAUCACGCAUGUAAGCGAAAAUCCUUCAUUUUCUUUUCGAAAAUGCUCCCUUUAAGCAAAAUUCACCCAUUUUCCCUUCAAAAAUCCCAGAUUUAUCUCAAAAAUCACCCAUUUUCCCAACGAAAAUGCCCCAUUUAAGCAAAAAUCACCCAUUUUCUCUUCGAAAAUCCCACAUUUUCGUGAAAAUCAACCCUUUUCUCUUCAGAAAUCCCCCAUUUAAGUGAAAAUCACACAUUUUCUCUUCGAAAACCUCCCAUUUUACCCCAAAAUCACACAUUUUCUCCUCGAAAAUCCCCCAUUUAAGGGUAAAUCAUGCAUUUUCUCUUCGAAAAUCCAACAUUUAGCUAAAAAAUCACGCGUUUAAGCGAAAAUCACCCGUUCUCUCUUCAAAAAUCCACCAUUUAACUAGAAAAUCACCCAUUUUCUCUUCAAAAUUCCCACAUUUAACCCGAAAAUCACCCAUUUCCCCUUCAAAAAUCUCCAAUUAUUUGGACAAUCACACAUUUGCUCCUCAAAAACCCCCCAUUUAAGGGUAAAUCAUGCAUUUUCUCGACAAAAAUCCUCCAUUUAACUAAAUAACUAUGCACUUAAGCGAAAAUCAAACAUUUUCUCUUUGAAAAUCCCCCAUUUAAGGGUAUAUCAAGCAUUUUAUUUCUGAAAAUCUGCCAUUUAAGGGUAAAUCAUGCAUUUUCUCUUCGAAAAUCCAACAUUUAGCUAAAAAAUCACGCAUUUAAGCGAAAAUCACCAGUUUUCUCUACGAAAA